rnacentral:rRNA from 1 species
AUGGUCAACACAAGGUCCAUGAGUCUUCGUAACGAGGGAAACAUGGAAGGGACGUUGGCCAUUGGCGAGGACCGCAUCAGCGCCCUUGACGACGAGCUCCUCCAGCAUGUGAUGUCCUUCUUGCUUUCCCGCGACGCCGUGCAGACGUGUGUGCUCGCUAGGCGUUGGAGCACGCUCUGGAAGUCCGUGCGUGCCCUACGCAUCAAGGAUGACCUUGCGACUGACUCCUACAAGUUCGUGGAUGAGCUGCUGCGCCUCCGUGACCCGGCGCCAUUGAACGUGUGUGACAUCUUUGAUGCGUACGAGGAUUCGGAUACAGAGGAUCCGUUAGCUUUUUGCGAGGAGGAAUCCAAUCGCAUUGCGCCGUGGCUCCGAAUGGAUUUGAAAUGGUCCCCUGUGUUUAGCAAACUAAAAACGUUGUUGCUGAAUGAAUGGUGUGUGGCUGGUGAUUUCACUGGAUUGGUGUACUUUCUCCAGCACUCACCAAUUCUAGAGACACUCACGCUACAAUUUGAUAUUCAAACUCAUAAGAAACAACGUGUGAAUGGAACAGAUGAAAGGCUUCCAGAUCAUCUGGUCUACCUCAUCAUUCGUUAUCCGCUCUCUAUGUCCCCGGAUCGCACCUGGAAGUUGCUGCGUUUUGUAUACCAGACCAGGAUCUCGCCUUCCGUGCUCAUGCCCGUGUCCCAUGUUCAUAUGAACUCACAAGUCCAGGCUCGGAAUUGGAUAUUCGAGGCCUGCGCUCUGUAUAACAACUGGUGGCCAAUGUUGACAGUUCUGAUGUACCUCAUACUACCUAUGCCACUCAUAUUUUUCCUGGGCUCCGAUUCUCCAUCGAUCAUGUCGAAUGAGAAUGAUGGGUGGGUGAACUUCACCAAGUUCCUGACGGGCGCGUCGAUCGUGGGCAGCAUCGCCAUCCCGUCGAUCCUGAAGCAUGCCGGCGUCAUCGGGUGGGGCGCGCUGACAAUGGAGCUGUCCUCCUUUGCCGUCUUCGGGCUGGCCAUCGUGUGGUUCCUCCAGAUGAACUCCGAGGACGAGUACAGCGCCUUCUGA